GUGUCAGCAGCCGCGGUAAUACGGAGGUGGCAAGCGUUGUUCGGAAUUACUGGGCGUAAAGGGCGCGUAGGCGGCAAGGCAAGUCAGGUGUGAAAGCCCCGAGCUUAACUCGGGAAUUGCAUCUGAAACUGCUGUGCUUGAGUUCUGGAGGGGGUAGUGGAAUUCCCAGUGUAGCGGUGAAAUGCGUAGAUAUUGGGAGGAACACCUGCGGCGAAGGCGGCUACCUGGACAGAAACUGACGCUGAGGCGCGAAAGCUAGGGGAGCGAACGGGAUUAGAAACCCCUGUAGUCC
rnacentral:rRNA from 1 species